rnacentral:rRNA from 1 species
AUUGAACGCUGGCGGCAGGCCUAACACAUGCAAGUCGAGCGGCAGCACGGGUACUUGUACCUGGUGGCGAGCGGCGGACGGGUGAGUAAUGCCUAGGAAUCUGCCUAGUAGUGGGGGAUAACGUCCGGAAACGGGCGCUAAUACCGCAUACGUCCUACGGGAGAAAGUGGGGGAUCUUCGGACCUCACGCUAUUAGAUGAGCCUAGGUCGGAUUAGCUAGUUGGUGAGGUAAUGGCUCACCAAGGCGACGAUCCGUAACUGGUCUGAGAGGAUGAUCAGUCACACUGGAACUGAGACACGGUCCAGACUCCUACGGGAGGCAGCAGUGGGGAAUAUUGGACAAUGGGCGAAAGCCUGAUCCAGCCAUGCCGCGUGUGUGAAGAAGGUCUUCGGAUUGUAAAGCACUUUAAGUUGGGAGGAA